UACCUACGGGACGCAGCAGUGAGGAAUAUUGGUCAAUGGGCGCGAGCCUGAACCAGCCAAGUCGCGUGAGGGAUGACGGCCCUACGGGUUGUAAACCUCUUUUGUCGGGGAGCAAAUUCCGCCACGUGUGGCGGCGUCGAGAGUACCCGAAGAAAAAGCAUCGGCUAACUCCGUGCCAGCAGCCGCGGUAAUACGGAGAAUGCGAACGUUAUCCGGAAUUAUUGGGUUUAAAG
rnacentral:rRNA from 1 species